CCGAGUUGCAAAACUCCCAAACCAUUGUGAACCUUACCUAUCGUUGCUUCGGCGGAUCCGCCCCGGCGCUCUCGCGACCGGAACCAUGGCGCCCGCCGGGGGAAAACCAAAACCUUUGAAUCUCUGUGGAUUAUCUGAGUGGCGAAAGCACAAAUACAAUCA
rnacentral:misc_RNA from 1 species